UUGGGUUGCUCUCGGGUUGGCUAGGUAAUUUUUCUCCUUCCCUCCUACUGAAUGCAGUCGCUAGUUGACCUAUUUGGGUCUCUAGCUUAGUAAUGGAUUGUGUGUGGGAGUUAAGAGUUUGAGUGUUGACUUCUAAUCAUUCUAGUGCUUUCAAAACUUUUUCCUCAAAAGCUGAGCUGUGACCAGUAGUAGAUGGUUAAGAAGCAUUUUAAAAUUGAUGGUAUGGUCCAUGCCUAUAUGUUGGGUCCUGAUAUUGAGGUCGAGGUGCGGCAGGGCCAACCACUGGUUGUGGUCUCCAGGAAAAAUUUGGAUGGUUUCUCCAGUCGGGAUUAUAAGUGCUCGAAUAUGGAUCGUUUCCUGAUCUGCGAGCUUGUUGGACUUGAGCUUGCUGAACCUGCUCGUGCACAAACUCAGAAAAUUGAGGUGUGGCUGGGCAUUCACUAACAAAAUGGUUCGGACUUGCACACAAUGCACAAACUUCUUGGAUUGGGUUAGGUGGAAUUGGAGAUUGUCCAGUAUUUAGAAGAC
rnacentral:lncRNA from 1 species